rnacentral:misc_RNA from 1 species
UCUCAUUCUAAUUCAACUUGUACUGCACUUGUUAUAUAUAGAAGGUGCAAGGUUAAUCUCGAUAAGUAUUCUAUAUAUUGUUCCGCGAUGGAUUAACGAAACAGAUAAUUACUAACCGCAUAGGAUUUACAUAAAAAAAUCCUCUGCUUACAUAAAUGAUUUUGUCCUAUAGUUAACGUUAAAUUUCGCAAACUAAGUCUACUCGUAUACCGAUUUAAAUGCGAAAAAUAAAAUCGAACAGUACUUUCGGAACUCGGAAGCGCGAGCCGAAUACAUCGACAUCGUUUAUUUCGUUGAUCUCGUAGGCUGUCGAAACGCGAUGUUACGCGCAGUCCGCAGAUGCUACUUUUUGCCGAUGUAUUGCCAUUCGAUCGAUUACAUAAUCCGUAUCCCAUAGGGGGCCUGAAGUGAGUCAUCCGUCCAGCAAACUUAACUCGUGCGUUCACGGUGCGCAAUGAAUCGACGCGACGAUGUUUCUUCGAGUGCGAGAUGUGUAGGAUUACUCUUAAUUUAUCGAGCCUAAUUACGUUCGAUACUUUCCGCCGCAUAACUUAUCCUGUAGAACCUAACGGUAAUCAAAUGGUUCGCUAUUCGCGAGAACGCGACAAGCACGGACUCUCUUCUUCUUACGUGCCUAGGGUUUUCCAUUCGACGACGAAGGGUUUGGUCGUCGCAGCGACAUUCGAGCCCACUUGGACGACUUAGCAGCCCGUCAUCCAGAGUUC